GCAGGAAGGAGACGAGCGCGUCUUCCUAUUUGCCAUCCAGAAGACCACCGAUCCGCGUGGUCUUGGAUGGGCCGUCGCCCAAGGCAACCUCCUUGACCGGGACCUCGUCGCAUGUGGCCAUCCGCUGCCUCGGGGCGGUGGGGGCAGAGGGGCCAAGCCUCUCGUCACCACCCUCGGGCUUGGACGCAGCAGCGAGGCGGUCGGCGCGCUGCUCCAUGCAAGCG
rnacentral:misc_RNA from 1 species